CUUUCAAUAAUACACACCCGGAAGUGUUCUAUGCUGAGUAUUCCGCCAUGGAAAAAGUUACACAUUCAGUUGAAUAAGGCUUGCUAGAUAUAUGUAAGUCUCUUGCACCAGGAUUAAAGACAAAAGCCCAGAAGGUCCUUCUUAACAAUUUAAACCUCUGCGAAGGUUGUUGGCGUAAAAGAGCUUUUGGAUAUUUGCGUAAUGGAACUGGCCUGAUGGAAUGGUUGCAGGGAAUCCACCCAUUCCAUUAGUUACCUCAAGUCUGGAUAACGGCAAAGUCAUAGAGAGCCAGCAGUGGGGAUGUAAGGUUGAAUGGCUACUGGCUGAGAAGAAUUCCGCUGGACAUCUGUUUACGUAUUCGCUGAGGAAGAACACGUGCAGUUUCAGAAUAAUUGUAUGGACAGAUAAUCUUGAUCAGAAAUACGCAUGGGGAAGUACAUUCAUAAAAGUUGACUUAAUAAAACUGUAUUUGCAUAUGAGAGGAGUCUGAUUAAGUUACAAAGAAUACCUCUUGACUGAACUGUAUAUACUAGAUGCAAGUAAAUCGUGGCAUAUCCUGUAUCCUAACAUAUAGUCUUGUACUUCCUCGAUGGACAAGAAAAUAAAACAUGAAGGUCGUAAGUUGGAUGAAUGAGAGACAAGCCAUAAAUGAACUGUGCUAACGAAAAAAAGACCAAGAUGCACAUUUUCAUAGAGAGCACUGUUCAACACUUGGAGUGAAGUGAACUUGUAUUAAAAUUCAAGAUGACAUCCAGAAAUCUGGAUUUAGUAUAAGAAGAAAGUAGAGCUUGCAUGCAAAGAGGAUGAAUGCAUUGAAAUUAGUAUGCAGGGGAGCAAAGACCUGCAUUAGGUGUGGAUUGAUUAGACAUUUUAACACUUUUAUGGUAGACUUUUCUUGUCUGUUUAAUUGUGGUUUCUUGUUAGGGCAGAUGCUAAAUAAUUCACAUAUGACUCCCAUUUUUUAUUGCCAUCUGGAGCUUUAGGCUUUAUACCAGUGAUUUCUGCAAGAUUCUUUUUUGCUUGUUUAUGAAUAAUGGAUUAAAUGACAAGUUUUAUUUAGUUUUAUUGGACUUAAAACUGGAAGCUUUUCUUAUUUA